rnacentral:siRNA from 1 species
AUGUGCGAAACGGCGGGAAAAUCA